CUGCGAGUCACCCGCGCCCCCUCUGAUUCCUGCACUGUUAACGGAGGGAGAGUGAGUCAGAAAUGGCUUUGCUGCCGAAUGCAUUAUCUGGCCAUGUUCAUAGCCCGGUACCGCACAAACGAUCGCCUGAUCGAUCGGAGACGGAGGCGCCAAAUGAAAGAGGGAAUAAACAUUUGCCCUGGAUAAAAAUGUUCUUGGUCCAGAGUAGGCUUUUGCAUGUCCUGGUGAUACCUGUGAAUUCAUCCAGUCCUCUGGCUUUCCUGGGUCUACAGCACCCCCAGCCUGCACAGACUCCUGCGUGGAGAAUGGGCUGUAUUCCAUUACUAAUGAUGUCCUAAAGCAGAAGGUUUCCUUCAGUCAUCUGAAUUUACCAAAAGGAUGAUUUCUGUGCAUGUUUUAGACACAUGUGGCAAGGGAGGUUGGCGAUCCACCCCAGUAGGAUGACUAUCCUGAAUUACAUUUAUUACAAACACAAACCUAGCAGUUGUGGUUUGAAAGAGCAUACUUUUUAUAUAAAAAUUGCAAUAUGUUGUUCAAACCUAUUUAAGUUGUUAUUCAAGGAAAUAGAAUUAUUUAUUGAGAACCCAACUUAAAUUAGAAAAGUAACAUUAACAUUUUUAGCACAUAUGUGAAAUAAAUGUGAGGUUGAUAUUCUUUUAAAUAUUUAGAGGAAAAAAAAUAGGACAGGGUGAAAAAAUACUGUGACCCAUGGUUCUUUAACUUUAAAAGAGUUUACAGCACUUAGAUAUCAAUACAUAAUAUGAAUAUUUUAACAUUACAUUAGAUCAUAUGAUUAUAUUUGAUCAACCUCCAAAUAGAGCUGUCUCCUAACUGGUUUUUACCUAAGUGCAAGAAAGUUUGAGCUUAGACCUUACUCAGAAGUUGUGCAUUUUAUUUUUAUGUUGAGAUUGUCUUUUCCUGGGUAAUCUUCACACACAUCUGCAGUUGGUAUUUUAGCCAAUUUUUGUUACUGGUAAUGUUUUUGUCUGUUAUUCUGGCUCCAUCUUUUUAAGUAUAUGGGUAUCACCUAAUAUAUUUCUUACCUAUUAAUCCACUAAAAUUUCUAACACAAGGCAACAUUCAAGACAUGUUGAAUUAGAGAAAUUAUGAAGCAAUUUGCUUGUGAAGAAAAGUGUCAAUAUACUUCAGAUUAUUUUAACCUAAAAUAAAUGUGUAACAAAAAUGGGUUAUAAUGAGAUAAGUACAGUCAAACUGUUCCUUGUAUACAUACGUAACACUCACAUUUAUACAUAUAUAGUUGCCCUCAUUACAAUGUUUAAAUUUAUUCAUUUUAGUCUUUGUUAUAGGCUUAUUUUGAUUUCAGAGUUUUCUCUUUGAAAGUGUCUAAAACUUCUUAAAUAACUAAAUGUGAAAGCAUCUUCAUGUCUUAUUUCAUGAGACUGUAAUGAAGCAGGACCUUCAGAGGCUUUCCCAGAACAGACCCACACACAUGUCCUCCACCUGCCUUUGUAGAAAAACUUUAGUCAAGGACUAAAGUUCAUCAGAGGAGUGAGAAUAUGCAGAAAGAAAGAAAAACAGUCAAGCAUGACAAACUAAUACUUUAGCCAUUAAACAAAGUCAAGGACCUUAGGUCCUCCUCAAAGGUUGUAGAUAAUAUUCUAAACUAUGUCCUUUGAGCUGUUUUACAGAUACUGAAUCCCCCACCAGGGGGAAGUAGUUUCUGUUGUCUGCCCAUAGGCAGGGAGACCUCCAGACACAUUGGAACCAGAAGGCUGAUGAUAUUGACUCCCAGUCACCUCACUAUCAACCAAUCGGAAGAAUGAACACAAGCUGAUUAUGCCCUGCUCCUUGAAUACUUAAAUAAGACUCCUCACUACCCCCAUGGUAGGACACAUGAUCUCAAGGGCAUUGGCCCUCUGUGGCCCUCUGUGCUUGGCAAAAAAAUAAAGCUAUUUCUAUUUCACC